GUGAAUGUAUUUAACAGGUAAUAAGAAUAGCGGUGUCGGUUGACGGCCUGUAUAGGUCCAGAAACGGCUGUGAAGCUUAUUACUCUUGAAUACAGCUACUUCAGAUGACCACUGAACUAAUUUGGAGACCAGUGCAUUUUAUUUAACUCCCCUAGAGAACCUGCUAGAGCUCUCUAGUAUUCUUUUUAUUUUCCUUUUUUGGUUUUCUUUCUGAUCAUGAGCCAAUACUCCAGUCUGAUGGAGCAGUUUUUUCCACACUAUGGACAUUCUCCACUCCGCUCUGUUUGCUUGGCCAUUAUGUUAAUUUGCUUUGAGUGGAAAUAACCGUUUUUUGCCCAGUUUUAGUAAGUUUUUGCAGGCUUGAGAGCAUGCAAUGCAAGGGAUGACUCAUGAGGGUUCCAAGAAAAGAUGGAGGAGGCUGGACCUGGUCGAUUUGCAGAGCGGCCCAUCAUACGUCACCAAGCGCAGGACACCCCAACCCACCUGGCAGCCUUGAUCCUCCAAGCAGUCUACGGAGAACAAGAUAUGGCUUUCAUUUUGCUUUUCAUUAACUGAGUUUAGGAUAAGUUAUUUUGUGUGCUUUUCUCAUUGAAGUAAUGUGUGUCUCUUUAUGUCAAGGUUUCUGGACUCCGUGCCCCAUGACCAGCUGGAGUGUCAACGAGGCGGGAGCAAACAUCAAGCAUUUGCGGCACACAGUCUGCAACCUCUGGACUUACGUGCCUAUUUUGAACUUUCCUCCACUUCUCACCAUGAAGGCUCUGAUGUGAAGCAGCAGAUCACAUCCCAACAGGAAACUAAAGUGUCUCAAGUCAAAGAGCUUCAGAAGAAACUAUAGCAGGAGAUCACUGAGCUGAACUAAUUACAUGUAUUGCUUUGUCAGACCAAAUGUUAUUGUUCAAAUCCGUUCUGAAGGAAACUAAUUGUCAUGUUUGUCAUCGCUAAGGACUUCAGUCAUUUCUUAGUGCUUUCUCUUAGUUCUUCAAGUUUAUUUGGAUCAAUAAAUGUCUAUCAGUCGGUCGUGGCAGAUGGCCGCUCAUACUGAGCCUGGUUCUGCUGGAGGUU